UACGUAGGGUCCGAGCGUUGUCCGGAAUUAUUGGGCGUAAAGGGCUCGUAGGCGGUUUGUCACGUCGGGAGUGAAAACUCACGGCUCAACCCUGAGCGUGCUUCCGAUACGGGCAGACUAGAGGUAUGCAGGGGAGAACGGAAUUCCUGGUGUAGCGGUGGAAUGCGCAGAUAUCAGGAGGAACACCGGUGGCGAAGGCGGUUCUCUGGGCAUUACCUGACGCUGGAGGAGCGAAAGCAUGGGGAGCGAACAGGA
rnacentral:rRNA from 1 species